UACGAAGGGGGCUAGCGUUGCUCGGAAUUACUGGGCGUAAAGCGCACGUAGGCGGCUUUCUAAGUCGGGGGUGAAAUCCUGGAGCUCAACUCCAGAACUGCCUUCGAUACUGGAGAGCUUGAGUCCGGGAGAGGUGAGUGGAACUGCGAGUGUAGAGGUGAAAUUCGUAGAUAUUCGCAAGAACACCAGUGGCGAAAGGCGGCUCACUGGCCCGGUACUGACGCUGAGGUGCGAAAGCGUGGGGAGCAAACAGGG
rnacentral:rRNA from 1 species